rnacentral:rRNA from 1 species
UGAACGCUGGCGGCGUGCCUAAUACAUGCAAGUCGGGCGAACAGACGAGGAGCUUGCUCCUCUGACGUUAGCGGCGGACGGGUGAGUAACACGUGGAUAACCUACCUAUAAGACUGGGAUAACUUCGGGAAACCGGAGCUAAUACCGGAUAAUAUAUUGAACCGCAUGGUUCAAUAGUGAAAGACGGUUUUGCUGUCACUUAUAGAUGGAUCCGCGCCGCAUUAGCUAGUUGGUAAGGUAACGGCUUACCAAGGCAACGAUGCGUAGCCGACCUGAGAGGGGGAUCGGCCACACUGGAACUGAGACACGGUCCAGACUCCUACGGGAGGCAGCAGUAGGGAAUCUUCCGCAAUGGGCGAAAGCCUGACGGAGCAACGCCGCGUGAGUGAUGAAGGUCUUCGGAUCGUAAAACUCUGUUAUUAGGGAAGAACAAAUGUGUAAGUAACUAUGCACGUCUUGACGGUACCUAAUCAGAAAGCCACGGCUAACUACGUG